rnacentral:lncRNA from 1 species
CCUAGAUGAAGCAGAGGCUUGAGAUAGCACAGAGCAAAAUGGAACGAAAACAGACAUACACCUGAUUUCUUAGGCCUCUUGAAAAUUAAUGGGCAGGAAGGUUUAACUUGUUCAGAGUGGACUAUUGACAUUAUAAAGGUGUAAUUGCUGAGAAUAUCCUUAGGGAUUAGUUUUAACCUUGUGAUUAUACUGUAGGACUUUUACGCUCCUUGACCCUAGAAGGAGUGUCCAGGUGGGGGACAUCUGAGCUCAUCUUUGUCCAGGUGCACCUCCUAUCAUCAGUGAAUGCUCUGAAGUGGGAAGGAGAAGUUCAGAGUGCUGAUGGUCACAGAGAUCUUCCAUUCCUGAAUCCUAUCACCUUCUCUUCACAACAACUUGGAGAAGAUCCAGAGAGUUGUGGACCCACGGAGGAGACAUCUGACUGGCCUCCAUAAGUCCUCUGCCACCAUUUAGGGGAGAGAUUAAUGCCCAUCCCACGAAACUGAAUCUCAAGAAAGAAUCAAAUGAUGUCCAUAGACCCAUGACCCAGUGCAAAGCUCUGGCCCUGAAAACUGCCCCAGCCUUGGAGGAGGGCGAGAAACCUGAGUCUCCUUCACCAGCAACUCCUUUAUCCACCAGCCUCUUGGGAAUUCAGUUACCUUGAGCCACCACAGGAGAGUUCACCCACCCCCCAGGAACUGAGGCCCAGGAUAUCUGAGCUUUGAUUCCUCCUGAAGUUACCUUUUCUGACUGUAUUCAUUCAGGUCUCUGUGAAUGGCGACAUUGC